CUUUAACAGCACGACCUGGCCCCCUUCUAAUCGGCAGUACUAGGAGAAAGUGACAGCCGAUCACGUCCUCUUUGAGACACUGGAGUUAUGUGAGGAAAGAAGAAUGCAAAGAGGAGGGGGUCUAGGACGAGAGAGACAGUGUGUGUGUUUGUCACUGUGUGACUGUGUGUAUCUGGAUGUUUGUCACUGUGUAUGUCUGUGUAUAAG